rnacentral:rRNA from 1 species
CCUACGGGAGGCAGCAGUGGGGAAUAUUGCACAAUGGGGGAAACCCUGAUGCAGCGACGCCGCGUGAGGGAAGAAGUAAUUCGUGAGGUAAAGCUCUAUCAGCAGGGAAGAAAAUGACGGUACAUGAGUAAGAAGCCCCGGCGAACUACGGGCCAGCAGCCGCGGUAAGACGUAGGGGGCAAGCGUUAUCCGGAGUUACAGGGUGGCACGGGAGCGUAGACGGCAGUGCAAGGCUGGAGUGAAAGGCGGGGGCUCAACCCCCGGACUGCUCUGGAAACUUUCCGGCUGGAGUGCAGGAGAGGUCAGUGGCCUUCCUCUUGUAGCGGUGCACUGCGUCGAUCUU